CCUACGGGAGGCAGCAGUGAGGAAUAUUGGUCAAUGGGCGCUAGCCUGAACCAGCCAAGUAGCGUGAAGGAUGACUGCCCUAUGGGUUGUAAACUUCUUUUAUAUGGGAAUAAAGUGCAGUAUGUAUACUGCUUUGCAUGUACCUUAUGAAUAAGGAUCGGCUAACUCCGUGCCAGCAGCCGCGGUAAUACGGAGGAUUCGAGCGUUAUCCGGAUUUAUUGGGUUUAAGGGGAGCGUAGGCGGGUUGUUAAGUCAGUUGUGAAAGUUUGCGGCUCAACCGUAAAAUUGCAGUUGAUACUGGCAGCCUUGAGUACAGUAGAGGUAGGCGGAAUUCGUGGUGUAGCGGUGAAAUGCUUAGAUAUCACGAAGAACUCCGAUUGCGAAGGCAGCCUGCUGGACUGUAACUGACGCUGAUGCUCGAAAGUGUGGGUAUCAAACAGGAUUAGAUACCCUUGUAGUC
rnacentral:rRNA from 1 species